GUUGAUUUACAAUGUUCUGUCAGUUUCUGCUAUACCGCAAAGUAACCCAGUUAUACAUGUCUAUACAUUCUUUUGAUUUUUAAAGGUCCUUUUUCUUUUUUUUAAAUUUUAUUGAAGUAGAUUUGACUGACAAUGGUGUGGUAAUUUCUGCUGUACAGCCAAGCGACGCAGUCAUACAUAUAUAUUUUUUCAUAUAUUUUUAAAAUUAUCAUAGAUUUACAAUGUCAUACCUAUUUCUGCUUACAGCAUACUGACCCCGUCAUUCACACACACACACUCUUUGUCUCAUACUAUCUUCCAUCAUAUAUAUUCUUUUCCAUUCUGCUUUAUUACAGGAUAUCAGGCAUAGUACCCUGUGCUACCCAGUAGGGCCCUUUGUUGUUUAUCCAUUCUAUAUAUUCUAGUUUGCAUCUGCUAAUCCCAGACUCCCAAUCCUCCCCCCACCACCCCAGCAACUACAAGUCUGUUCUCUAUGUCUAUGUGAAGGCGCUUUUUCUACGUGAGAAAUUUCAAUGAAAUAUCUUGAAACACCACGUCUCAUCAUCUUGAUAUUUGCAGUUAAAAGAGCCUUUAGCAAGCAGAUCUGAGCCUCUCGUUUUCAAAAAGAAAAGAUGAAACCUAGCCAUGUGGGGUCUGGCUCAAGCUCACAGUUGGCUGUGAGCCAGCUGCAUCUGGGAGGCCCCGAGCUCCUGGGCCAAUUACACCCCGACUCUGGUAAGGACACAGGGAAAAACACCCUAGAAACUUCAGGAGAUCAUUUCGAACUUUACAUGGUAGUUUUCCAUUGCUACCUUACAGCCAGAAAAAGGUAUUCUGAAGAAACAAGAACAAGUGCAAAGUCAAUCCUUUCCCACUUGGGUAAUUUAAAGUUGCGUGAAUUCCCCAUGGCUGUGUAGCUGGUAGGAGAAGGCGCACAUUUCUGGCAUCGUUUCCCAGUGAUCGCCAGCAUACCUGAUGAGUAAUGACUGAUGGCUUCAGACACUAAUGAGUCCAGAGUCUGUUCCUAGGAAAAUGCUUUGCAUGCAUCAUUAAGGCUAUUUUAGGACUGGCUGUCUUGAACCUAAUGUAAACUAGCACUGGUGAUUCUGAAUUUAAAUCAAUAUUUAAAAAAAAAAAAAAAAAAAAAGAACUGGUAGUAAGUCUAUAGACUUUUAUAAGAUAUUACAUCUCUAAGUUCUUUGAAUAACAACUCCAAUACUGCCCGUAUAUUGAUGAACAUAUUAACUUACAUCUAACUGGAAUACUGCUAUCCAAAGCCUACAUUUCUUUCCACUACAGAUGCCUCGUGCCAUAAUACAGCAAAUAGAAUUACCUGAGCUGCUUUUGAAAAACGAAAGGUGCUGAACCCCACCUGAAAAGUAUUGCACUGAAUUGCCAGCAGGUGGAGCCAAACCAUGGGCAUUUUUCAUCCAGGACCUUUAAAAGCACCGUGGUUGAUGCUCUCACCCGUCUUCCAAGAGGAAACACUGAUGACCAUGCAAAUUUUGCCUUAUGUCCUUAACAUCUCCCCAUGCUCAGGAAUAUGCAUCUCCAUUCAAAGAGACAAUGUUUUCUACGGUAGUGAGGCUCAAACUUGGUUUUGCAUCAGAUUCAGGUACAUGGGGUGGGGCUUGGUUAAAAAUAUGAGUAGCAAGUCUGACCCAAGUCUAAAAAAACUGCAUUUUUAACCAAGCUAUCCACCAUACUCAGAAGCACACAGACUUGAGAGACUAAAACUUUCUGGAAGAUUUCCUAAAAGGCCACCUGGUUUCUGAAAUUGAACUGAAAAAUAAUAAACCCAGAAGGUUACUAGGGAGAUGUAACUGUGUCAGACACAAUUUUUAAACCAGACCUAAUUGAAACCAAAGUCACUAAUGCUUUUCUGUCAAUUCCCCACACCUUUGCUCUUUGAGUAAACAUGAGGUUAAGGAGGUGGCUUAUAUCAUAGAACUGAGGGUGGCAGGUUGAGAGCAAGGAUGAGGUGUCAGAGAAACUGAGAUUCCUCACUCAAAAAUGUUUCAGCCAGUCAAUCAUGGGGUUUAAGAAGGCAGAAAAGUCCACAUCACUCAUGAUUAGAGAAAUUCAAGUCAAAACUACCAUGAGGUACCACCUCACAAUGGUCACAGCAGCCAUCACCAAAAAGUCAACAAACAACAAAUGCUAGAGAAGGUGUGGAAAAAAGGGAACCCUCCUACACGGUCAGUGGGAAUGUAAAUUGGUGCAGCCACUAUGGAGAACAGUACGGAGGUUCCUCAAAAAAUGAAAAAUAAAACUACCCUAUGAUCCAGCAAUCCUACUCCUGGGCAUCUAUCUAGAGAAAACCUUAAUUCAAAAAGAUACAUGCACUCCAGUGUUCACUGCAGCACUAUUUUCAGGACCCAAGACAUGGAAACAGCCUAAAUGUCCGUUGACAGAGGAAUGGAUCAAGACAAUGUGGUACAUAUAUUCCAUGGAGUAUUACCUGGGCACAAAGAAGAAUGAAAUAAUGCCAUCUGCAGCCACAUGGAUGCAACUAGAAAUUACCACACUAAGUGAAAUAAAUCAGACAAAUACCAUAUGAUAAUCACUUAUAGGUGGAAUCUAAAAUAUGACACAGAUGAACUUAUCUACUCACAGACAGAACAGACUUGUGGUUGUCAAGGGGGAGGGGACGGGAGGGAAGGAUUGGGAGUUUGGGAUUAGCAGAGGCAAACUGGUAUAUAUAAGAUGGGUAAACAACAAGGACCCACUUUAUAGCACAGGGAAUAUUCAAUAUUCUGUAACAAACAUAUUGGAAAAGAAUAUGAAAGAAAUAUAACCAAGUCACUUUGCUACAUUGCGGAAACUAACUCAACAUUGUAAAUCAACUAUGUGCCAACAAAUUUUUUAAAAAAAUAGAGCGCAUCUCUAGCAGAUAUCUUUGUUUUGUUCCUGAUCUUCAGAGGAAAGUACCCAGUCUUUCACCGCUAAGUAUGAUGUUAGCUGGAGUUUUUUUUGGUAGAUGUUCUUUUAUCAAGUUGAGGAAGAGCCCCUCUUUUCCUAGCUUUAUAAGCCUUUUAAUCAUGAAUAGGUGUUGGAUUUUGUCAAAUGCUCUAUUUACAUCUAUUGACAUGAUCGUAUGACUUUUCUUCUUUGCUUGUUGAUGUGAUGGAUUACAUGAACUGAUUUUCAAAUGUUGCAAAAGCCUUGUAUACCUGGAAAUAAAUACCAGUUUGUUAUGGUGUAUAAUUAUUGCAAAACAAUUUUGAAUUUGAUUUGGUAAUAUUUUAUUGAUGGUUUUUCAUCUACAUUCAUAAAUGAUACUGGUCUAUUGUUUUCUUAAAAAAAAAAAAAA
rnacentral:lncRNA from 1 species